CUACGUAGGGGGCGAGCGUUGUCCGGAAUUAUUGGGCGUAAAGGGUUCGCAGGCGGUCUGAUAAGUCAGAUGUGAAAGGCAAUGGCUCAACCAUUGUAAGCAUUUGAAACUGUCAGACUUGAGUUAAGGAGAGGAAAGUGGAAUUCCUAGUGUAGCGGUGAAAUGCGUAGAUAUUAGGAGGAAUACCAGUGGCGAAGGCGACUUUCUGGACUUAUACUGACGCUGAGGAACGAAAGCGUGGGGAGCAAACAGGAUUAGAUACCCUGGUAGUCCACGCCGUAAACGAUGAGUGCUAGGUGUUGGGGGUCAAACCUCGGUGCCGCAGCUAACGCAUUAAGCACUCCGCCUGGGGAGUACGUACGCAAGUAUGAAACUCAAAUGAAUUGACGGGG
rnacentral:rRNA from 1 species